CAAUAGCGUAUAUUAAAGUUGUUGCAGUUAAAAAGCUCGUAGUUGAAUUUCUGGCGGGCGCGCCGGUCUUCCAAGUGUUGUACUGGGCGCAGUCCGCCAUCCUUGUGGAGAGGGCUCGCAUUGAGUUGCGUGUCGGAUCUGCAUCAUUUACUGUGAAAAAAUUAGAGUGUUUAAAGCAGGCUGUCGCUUGAAUACAUUAGCAUGGAAUAAUAAGAUAGGACUUCGGUCUAUUUUGUUGGUUGCGAACCGAGGUAAUGAUUAAUAGGGAUAGUUGGGGGUAUUCAUAUUUAAUUGUCAGAGGUGAAAUUCUUGGAUUUAUGAAAGAGGAACAACUGCGAAAGCAUUUACCAAGGAUGUUUUCAUUAA
rnacentral:rRNA from 1 species